GACAGAGGGUGCAAACGUUGUUCGGAAUUACUGGGCGUAAAGCGUGUGUAGGCGGUCUCAUAAGUCGGAUGUGAAAGCCCUGGGCUCAACCCAGGAAGUGCACUCGAAACUGCGAGGCUAGAGUAUCGGAGAGGUUGGUGGAAUUCUCGGUGUAGAGGUGAAAUUCGUAGAUAUCGAGGGGAACACCGGUGGCGAAGGCGGCCAACUGGACGAAUACUGACGCUGAGACACGAAAGCGUGGGGAGCAAACAGG
rnacentral:rRNA from 1 species